rnacentral:rRNA from 1 species
UAACGCGUGAGUAACCUGCCUUUCAGAGGGGGACAACAGUUGGAAACGACUGCUAAUACCGCAUAACGUAUCUGUAUCGCAUGGUAUGGAUACCAAAGAUUUAUCGCUGAGAGAUGGACUCGCGUCUGAUUAGCUAGUUGGUAGGGUAACGGCCUACCAAGGCGACGAUCAGUAGCCGGACUGAGAGGUUGGCCGGCCACAUUGGGACUGAGAUACGGCCCAGACUCCUACGGAAGGCAGCAG